AUUAUUACAUCUUUAACUUUUAGCCUGACUUGAAUAAAUCUCUAAAAUCAAGUUAGGAUAGUGGACAACCUUAGCCGUUUAUGGUUCUAUUCAUGCUUCUUGUUCUCGCCGAUCGAUCGCUGGCAGGUACCUAGCGAAUCCAGUCACGUAACGUACUCCUUUGAGAUAAGUGGCCUAGUUUCUUCAUUUACCGGUGCACACAAAAGAUCAUAGCUAACUCAUCCAGAAAAUGUAAAUUUGCAAUAUUGUUGAGUUAACCAUUGAUUUUUUACCCAAACAGACAGCUACACAAGCGGUUAUUGUUCUUCCAGCUGUGAUUAACGAUUUUAAUUGCUGAAUCUAUGUUACCUUUAUUCUUAACUGUUUGUUUUUGUCUAAUCGAAUCUUGCAGUAACCCUAUAUGCACAGAUGAGCCUUGUGACACAAUAAGGAAUCUACACUAGGAAUCAAAGGUGGAGAGAUUAAAAUGUCUUUCUUUCUCACUCUCCCUUUCAAUGCACACUUUUUUUCUCAUGUUUACAAAAUGCCAAAGAGAUAAAGAAAACAGGUGUCAUGGCAUAAAGUAAGGGAAAGGGAGAGAAAGAAAAAAAAAGAACUCAGGUUGACUAAUUGUACGAUCCCUUCCUCCCAAGGUGACGUCGUUCAUUUACUAGUUUGUCAUCACAUAUUGCAGUCUUUGAUCAUGGGUCACGUUCAGAAGUUCUAGAACGUUCUCGUCCCAAACCAAGACAGACCGUUCAGUGCUUUUCUUUGGGGCCUCAUCGUGCAAACAAUGUCUUGUGUUACUGAUUUACUAAUUUGUGAGAAAUGAGAAUAACAUGGUACGUUACAACAUGACGAGCAUGACAUCUUUACCCCAAUCCAACGUCAUCCUUCUCUUUCAAGAAGCCACUAAAAUUGAUGGCGAAGAUUAGAGGCGUAAUAAAGAAUUGGUCGUGGUUGUCAAAACAAGCGAAUAGCUUAUAGUUACUGACGACAGGUGUCCUGUGUGCUGACACUUUAAAUGUCGCGGAUGGGCCUAUUCACUUCGAAUCAAUCUGAUGCAUCCACCAAUUUCGGCAGAGAAAUAACAACUGCACACCCCUCUCUAACGCAGGUGUGGUACUCUGUUUCUAUGGCUACGGUUUGUCGAAUUGUGCCGCCUUUGGGAAUGAACGUGACGCUAAUGCUACUGAUUGAGAAUUAGCAUUUGAAACAAUAUUCUUUUGUCGUCAGUGUUUCGACGACAUCUUUGCCAUUCAGAAACUUUUGGGGAAUCCAAAGUCUGUUUGUCACGCACAUCACAAAUUAAUCACGCGCCACAUUUAAUUGCUAAACAACACACGUCGUUCUUGCCGCAUCUAUUUUUAUCUUUGGCCAGAGCUAGAUCAUCAAGACCGACAAUAUCUGAAUCAA